GUACGUUUGUGUGUGAAUAGUGUUUCGCACCGAGGACAGGUACGUUUGUGUGUGAAUGGUAUUCAGCACCAAGGACAGGUACGUUUGUGU
rnacentral:pre_miRNA from 1 species